AGCUGCAGGUAUUACCCGCUCUGCGGAGGACGACGGCGCCGCCGAGCCGCGAGGGACUUUCCGCUGUAGGAAGUGCACCCUGAAGUUCCAGAUGGAGGUAAGCUGGCCGUACAGUUGUCAUCUUACUCCCCUAGCGGGGUGAUACCAUCUUGGGGCAGGAGGGGCAAAAGGCGAACAAGAAUCCAGAGAAGGAAGAGCACAGAAGCCAAAGGAGAUCAGGUCAGAACGAGAACUCAGAAGUAAGUAGAUGAUGAGCCUGGAGAUUGCAGAAGAACUGGAAGAAAACCAACCUUUAAGUGUCAGCAGCUCCCCGGGGCACAGGGGACCAUCACCGUCUUCAUCAACAACACCCUCUCAUUUAUUGAGGGUCUACUACGCGCUAAGGAUGGUGCAGGACUCUACACAUUACUCUGGUAAUCCUCCCAGCAGCCCUUUGAGUGGCAGGCUGAACCCCCAUUUUAGAGGUGAGGAAGCUGAGAUGCCCAAGAUGAGCUGAUUUCCCAAGGCUCCACAGAUACUAAGCAGCAGAGCAGGAUCUGUCUGGAGCCAAGUCACCGGCCACUGCGCUUUGCCCCUCGUGCAAAACCCACGACUGUCGCCGCCCAGCCCCGGCCCUGGCAGCACUUCCUAGCAGCAUCUGCUCCGAUGUUUUUCACGCAGCGGGAUUAUUU